GACGAACCGUGCGAACGUUAUUCGGAAUCAUUGGGCUUAAAGGGCGCGUAGGCGGCGGCGUAAGUUGGAAGUGAAAUCCCAUCGGCUCAACCGUGGAAUCGCUCCCAGUACUGCGUCGCUCGAGGGGGAUAGGGGUCUGCGGAACUACCGGUGGAGCGGUGAAAUGUGUUGAUAUCGGUGGGAACGCCAGUGGCGAAAGCGGCAGACUGGACCCUUCCUGACGCUGAGUGCGCGAAAGCUAGGGGAGCAAACGGG
rnacentral:rRNA from 1 species